rnacentral:rRNA from 1 species
UACAGAGGUCUCAAGCGUUGUUCGGAUUCAUUGGGCGUAAAGGGUGUGUAGGUGGCGCCGUAAGUCGGGUGUGAAAUCUCGGAGCUUAACUCCGAAACUGCAUUCGAUACUGCGGUGCUUGAGGACUGGAGAGGAGACUGGAAUUCAUGGUGUAGCAGUGAAAUGCGUAGAGAUCAUGAGGAAGACCAGUGGCGAAGGCGGGGUCUCUGGACAGUUCCUGACACUGAGACACGAAGGCCAGGGGGAGCAAACGGGG